rnacentral:tRNA from 1 species
GCCCAGGUGGUGAAAUUGGUAGACACGCCAGCUUCAGGUGCUGGUGGCCUUCGGGCCGUGGAGGUUCAAGUCCUCUUCUGGGCACCA